GUCAUUUCCUAAGAAACAGUCAAGAAGAGAGAAAGCAAUUGAAAGGUGAGGAGCAGAGAACUAUGAAGAUGAUUCAGGAAGAGGCACAUGGAGACCAGAGAUGAGGACCCUAAGACCUAGCGAAACUAAGUCAUUUGCUCAAGAAGACAAAGGAAUGAAGUCUGCAGCCCACCAUUACAGCCCAUGUUCUGAAACAACCUGCCACUGAGCUCUGUGACCUCCAGCCACACAGAGCUGCUUGCUGGUCCCUCCAUCUAUGGCCUAUGUUCACAUGGUCUGCACUGCUUUUGUGAGCUGUAACACUCAGCACGAAAGUCUGCAGCUUCAUUCUUGAGGCCAGCGAGACCACGAGCCUACCGGGAGGAAUGAGUUGAAUGAGCAACUCCAGACGUGAUGCCUUAAAAGGUGUAGCACCGUGAAGGUCUGCAGCUUCAUUCCUGAAGCCAGCGAGACCACGAACCCACCAGAAGGAAAAAACUCUGACCACGUCCAAACAUCAGAAGGAACAAACUCCGAACACACCAUCUUUAAAAAUUGUAACACUCGCCGCGAGGGUCCGCGGCUUCAUUCUUCAAGUCAGUGAGACCAAGAACCCACCAAUUCUGGACGUGCCAUCAUGUACUAAAGAACUAUGAUACAUUUUUGAAGUAUUGUUGAUAAUCCUAGCUAAAUUUUUAGACAAGAAAACAAGCUCAGGAUGGCAAGCAAUUUCACAGAUCUCAAAAACGUCAUGUUGAAGUGAAAAACUAUUAUUUUGGAAUCUGUUGAUUAUUAUAUAAAGUCUCAGUCCAUUUCUGAAUAUUAAUGAAUUUUUAAUAGUUAUAAUUGUCUUUGUUCCAAUAUGUUUAUAAUUUACAUCUCUACUUGUAUUAAUGCUCAUAGUAGUUUACAAUUAAAAUAUUGAUGUGAGACUGUUAACUAUAAAGUGAGUGAGGAGAGAUAAUCAUGUAAUUCAGUGGUUCUCAACUUGGAGCAAUUUUGCUAUCCAGGGGACAUUUGACAAUGUCUAAAGACGUUUUUGGUUGUCACAGCUGGAGUUAAGGGAGCUGGAUGGGUGAAUUGUUACUGGUGUAUAGUGGAUAGAGGCCAGGGUUGCUUGUAAAUGUCCUACAAUGCACAGGACAGCCAUUCCUCCUACUUCAACGAAGAAUAAUGAUGUAGAAAAAGGAACAAUAAUUCAACCAGAAACCAGGUGUAAUUAACAUUACUAAACAUUAAAAUUAUCUUUUGGUUUAUUGCCUGGCAAAUCACAAUAAAUAGAAGAUACCUAAUAAUAAUUUUGCAAAGAUUAUUGAAGUUUUCUGUUUGUUUUGUUAUGUUUUGGGAUCCUCUGCAAAACCAAAAACUCAAAAGUAGUUUGUCAGUUGUGACAAUACUAGGGAGCCAAACUAAGAUAUUUUAAGAGUAGAACUUAGAAGGGUAUAGUGAUAGUUCUCAAACUUUAAUGUAAACAAGAUUCUCCCAGGAAGCUUGCUUAAGAUACAGUUCUAGGAAUUCUUGUUAAGAGAUUACUAUUUAAUAGACAUCAGCUCAAUUGAUCACAUUUUGAGAAAUAUUAAUUUAGUAGGACAAAUGAUUAAGUAAGCCUUGCAUCAGCAUUUCUCAAACCUGGACCAUCAGAAUUACCUGGGGAAUGUCUCCAGAAUAGAAUGUAUAUAACUAUUCCCAGACAUUCCCAGAAAUUGUGAUUCAACAGGUCUUGACAUGGGGCCCACACAACCAUGUAUACUUUAAAUCCCCCAGUUGAUUAUAUUGAUGAACCAGGGUUUAGAUUAGCUACCAUAGAUUAUUACUAUAAAAUAUCAUUUGUCCUAAAUUCAUUUUUGCUGGAAGCUAGAUGAAAGUCUUUUCAAAGCUGGAUUUUCUGGACAGGUUUUGGGCUAAGUGUAGGGCAGAUUUUAUGUUUAGGUUUUAGCCCCAAUUACCCAGCUUACUAGCUACGUAAUCCUGAGUACUUGACAUCAGCUCUCUGAGUUUCUUCUUUGGUUAAAUGAGAAUACUGCCCACUAUGCAAAGGAAUUUUACAGGUUGGUUAGAAAGUGCCUGGCAUAGUGUAAACACUCAAUUAACAAUUGUAAACUUUAAAGCGAGAUAGAUAUCUAUACACUUAUAGCUUGUCAGCUAUUCCAGAAUCAAUAUUAAUACUAUGCAUAAAAAUUAAAGAGCUUAGAAUUAUAUCCUUGCCUAGAGAGUUAUGCCCCUCUAUUAAAUAAGCUGGCUAUCAGAAGCACUCCACAGAAAUACUCCAAUAUAUUUACAAGUCAAUUUGUAUACUUCAACUUCAGCAGACACUGUGGAGAAAUAAGCAACAGGUAGGCUCUAAAAUGGCCUUUAUCCCUACCUCUUGGUCAUCACAACCUUUUUAUUAUCUCCUCCCCUUGAGUGUUGGCUGAACUUAUUGACUCACGUCAUAUGAAUAGACUAUGAAACAAGUGAUAGGAUGUCACCUCUGCAAUUGGGUUACAAAAAGAUUGUGGCUUCUGUCUCUAGUGCCCUCUCUUGCUCCCUCACUCACUUGCUCCAACAAAAGAUAGCUGUCCUGUGGAGAGGCCCAUGUGGCAAGGAACUGAUGCCCCUGACCAAAAGGCAAAGAGAAUCUGAGGCCUGCUAAUAGCCACAUGAGUGAACCUGUAAGUAGAUCAUCCCCUAAGUUAGCCAUUAGAUGAAGGCAAACCACACUGACCAUUUGAUUGCAGGCUUAUGAAUCUGAGGUGAGGCACUUAGCUAAGCUGUGCUUGAGUCCUGGCCCACAGAAAUUGAGAAACAAUGUUUGUUGUUUUAAGUUGCUAAGUAUUAGGAAAAUUUGUUACAUAGCAAUAAAUAACCAAAACAAAUGACAUCAACAUUCUGCUUAUAAAUUCAAGGAUGUGAUAAACAUUUGAAAAAAGAAAGGUCACUAUGAAAGAGAAUGUAUUUCAAAAUAUACUUGGAUAAAGUCAAGGAACCAUCAUGGUAAUUCAUAUCAUUUGGCAUAUAAACUUUAUUAUUCACAAGCAAAAGGGCCUGUACUGUAUUCAGCAGGUCUAGGCACAGCUGCAGAUAUAGCUAACAUGGAAGUUUUCUGCAACAAUGCUUGUGAGUGGCCACAACACAAGAAAAGGGUUGGUUCUAAAAGUGGCAUAUAAUUGGUUAAAAUCACAGUGAUUUCUUAGGAAGUGAAUGGCCAAGUUGACAUUAAUAUGAAAGUUUUGAGACCUUGUGAUCACAGAAAUUCUGAGGUCACGUAGUUUCAACAAAUAUCCUAAAUCACAGAGGAACUGGCAAUUUAAAUAGGAAAUUAGUUCACAACAUUCAGAAAUGGCUUCUAUGAAAUCCUUGACUAGGAAUUCCUUUCACUAUCCUAGAAUUGGUUUUGUUAAGACCAUAAAGACAUGUGUCACUUAUCAGGCCAGUUAGCAUACUCUUUCAAAUUGGGUCCUUUCCUUGGAAAAGCAUACAUUUUCCAGUGGUAAUUUGACCCAUAUGGGCUACCAUCCCCGAAAGUAAAUUUGCACUUGCUUACAAGAAUUUUAACUAGGCUAUCCUUGAGAAUGCCUCAUUACCUUUAUAGCAAUAACCAACUGAAAGGAUGAUGGAGGCUGACCAAAAAGAUCUGGCUGAUUUGCUCCUGGGACUUUAUCUUCCACAGAGAGGCCAAUGUCAAGUGCUCAACUAUAAUUUCAAAAUUAGACAAAGUCUUAAAAGACAGCAGGCACAUACUCUGAACACUGCAGGACCACAUGGAUCAUUUUACCCAAUUUUAACAUAAAAUGUCUUUUUUUUUUAAACUACAGGUGGUUUCUUCCAGAAAGUAGGAGUAGAGGUUUAAAAAAGUCAGAUUAAUCAAUCUACCCUUAUGUGUUUCCCGACUCCAUUAUAUAAUUUCUAUUUCCAUUUCAAUAUUACCUCACUUCUCUAAGUGUUUGUUUUUCAACUAUAAAAUUGGAUAACUAACAAUAUCUACUUUGUGUCAUUGUAAACAAUAAAUGAAAUAACCUAAUGUAUUUAUUAUAAUUUUUCUAACAGAGAAACUGCUCUAUAAAUGCAUGUUAUGAUAAUAAAAGUAAUAAUUACUCUAUGUCAUCUCAGAUCAAA